rnacentral:misc_RNA from 1 species
UUUCCGUAGGUGAACCUGCGGAAGGAUCAUUAUUGUAUAACCGAGGUGCGAGGGCUGUCGCUGACCCGAAAGGUCGUGCACGCCCAAGUGCCCUCACACACAUCCAUCUCACCCCUAUGUGCACCACCGCGUGGGUCCCCCUUUGGCUUGUUCGGAGGGGGGCUUACGUUUUCACACAAACUUUGUAUGCAGUGUAGAAUGUAUUUUUUGUUUUUGCGAUCACGCAAUCAAUACAACUUUCAACAACGGAUCUCUUGGCUCUCGCAUCGAUGAAGAACGCGGC